AUUGAACGCUGGCGGCAGGCCUAACACAUGCAAGUCGAGCGGAUGAAGGGAGCUUGCUCCUGGAUUCAGCGGCGGACGGGUGAGUAAUGCCUAGGAAUCUGCCUGGUAGUGGGGGAUAACGUCCGGAAACGGGCGCUAAUACCGCAUACGUCCUGAGGGAGAAAGUGGGGGAUCUUCGGACCUCACGCUAUCAGAUGAGCCUAGGUCGGAUUAGCUAGUUGGUGGGGUAAAGGCCUACCAAGGCGACGAUCCGUAACUGGUCUGAGAGGAUGAUCAGUCACACUGGAACUGAGACACGGUCCAGACUCCUACGGGAGGCAGCAGUGGGGAAUAUUGGACAAUGGGCGAAAGCCUGAUCCAGCCAUGCCGCGUGUGUGAAGAAGGUCUUCGGAUUGUAAGGCACUUUAAGUUGGGAGGAAGGGCAGUAAGUUAAUACCUUGUUGUUUUGACGUUACCAACAGAAUAAGCACCGGCUAACUUCGUG
rnacentral:rRNA from 1 species